rnacentral:rRNA from 1 species
GACGAACGCUGGCGGCGUGCUUAACACAUGCAAGUCGAACGGAAAGGCUCCAGCUUGCUGGAGUACUCGAGUGGCGAACGGGUGAGUAACACGUGGGUAAUCUGCCCUGCACUCUGGGAUAAGCCUGGGAAACUGGGUCUAAUACUGGAUAUGACCUUUCUCCUUAUGGGGUUUGGUGGAAAGUUUUUUGGUGUAGGAUGAGCCCGCGGCCUAUCAGCUUGUUGGUGGGGUGAUGGCCUACCAAGGCGACGACGGGUAGCCGGCCUGAGAGGGUGAUCGGCCACAUUGGGACUGAGAUACGGCCCAGACUCCUACGGGAGGCAGCAGUGGGGAAUAUUGCACAAUGGGCGGAAGCCUGAUGCAGCGACGCCGCGUGAGGGAUGACGGCCUUCGUGUUGUAAACCUCUUUCAGCAGGGACGAAGCGUAAGUGACGGUACCUGCAGAAGAAGCACCGGCUAACUAUGUG